GCACUGCUGACGAGUCGAAAAAGGACGAAACAGCUGUCCAGUGC
rnacentral:hammerhead_ribozyme from 1 species